rnacentral:rRNA from 1 species
CAUGUAGGCGGUCUGCUAAGUUCGGAGUGACAGUCACCAGCUUAACUGGUGAAGGACUUCGAAAACUGGUGGACUUGAGAGCGAAAGAGGGACACGGAAUUCCGGGUGGAGCAGUGAAAUGCGUAGAGAUCCGGAGGAACACCAAAGGCGAAGGCAGUGUCCUGGCUCGUUUCUGACGCUGAGGUGCGAAAGCUAGGGGAGCGAACGGGAUUAGAUACCCCGGUAGUCCUAGCCGUAAACGAUGACCACUAGGCGUGGGAGGGAUCGACCCCUUCCGUGCCGGAGUCAACACAUUAAGUGGUCCGCCUGGGGAGUACGGUCGCAAGACUAAA